rnacentral:rRNA from 1 species
UACGGGGGGGGCAAGCGUUGUUCGGAAUUACUGGGCGUAAAGCGUGCGUAGACGGUUACAUAAGUCGGGUGUGAAAUCUCCGGGCUCAACCUGGAAACUGCCAUUGAUACUAUUAGUCUUGAAUAUUGUUGAGGUAGGCGGAAUAAGUCAUGUAGCGGUGAAAUGCAUAGAUAUGACUUAGAACACCAAUUGCGCAGGCAGCUUACUAAGCAAUGAUUGACGCUGAGGCACGAAAGCGUGGGGAUCAAACAGG